CCUACGGGGGGCAGCAGUGGGGAAUAUUUGCGCAAUGGGCGAAAGCCUGCCGCAGCGACGCCGCGUGAGGGAUGAAGGUCUUCGGAUCGUAAACCUCUGUCAGCAGGGAAGAACGGUCACUGUGCUAAUCAGCAGUGAAUUGACGGUACCCCUUGAAUAAGCCACGGCUAACUACGUGCCAGCAGCCGCGGUAAUACGUAGGUGGCAAGCGUUGUCCGGAUUUACUGGGUGUAAAGGGCGUGCAGCCGGAGAGACAAGUCCGAUGUGAAAUCCACGGGCUCAACCCGUGAACUGCAUUUGAAACUGUUUCCCUUGAGUGUCGGAGAGGUAAUCGGAAUUCCUUGUGUAGCGGUGAAAUGCGUAGAUAUAAGGAAGAACACCAGUGGCGAAGGCGGAUUACUGGACGAUAACUGACGGUGAGGCGCGAAAGCGUGGGGAGCAAACAGGAUUAGAUACCCGGGUAGUC
rnacentral:rRNA from 1 species